ACCAUGCCGCCUCACCCUCUCAGAUUACUGUUUCAUCCCUUUGAUAGUUUUUUAGCACAGAGGAAUGAGGAAUGGAUACAUGAGGCAUGGCGUAAGCGUAGGGGUCAGCCAGGGCAUGACGCAAGAGUCUGCCCAUCUCCUCUCAAACACGAAAGGCACUAAUGCGUCCCGAAAACCUAGCGCACAAAGGACCAAUCCUUCCCUUCCUCGAGCCCCAUUCGAGUCCGCGCCGUUCAGCAUCUCCAGCCUCCUCUGCUC